AUGCACAACACAACGCAUGGAAUAUCAAAUCACAACCGUCAAUUCCACACGUACAUCACAAAAAACAAAUCUCAUCCAUCCGAUCCAAAUUUCAACGACUACAGAGAAAGAGAGAGAGAAAAUAAUCAUUCGCGAAAGUGUGAAGAAGCUCUGAUCUUUCUCCGACGAUUUCUGAAUCUUUGUUGGAUUGAACAGACUGUUGCGGAGAGUGCGCCUGUGUAA